GUUAAUUUUGUCUCCAGCCUGUCAAGAUCUUCAGCAGAUGUUUGAGCAAAAAGUCAUCAUCCUCUUCGUCACUCUUCAUCCGUAUUUGGGGUAACAAGCACCUGCUUCCCACAAGAGACUGGACAGCUGAUGUCAGACCUGCACCUUCCUUGAACAUGUUGGUAUCUUACUCUGUAUUUGUUCACGGUGGUCACCCCAGGGUCUCAGGACUCAAAUUGAGUGCUCUAUGGAUUAAACAGAAAAUGCAGUAUAAACAAGUGUUAUGUUGUCUUCAACAUGUUGGUAACUUACUCUGUAUUUGUUCACGGUGGUCACCCCAGGGUCUCAGGACUCAAAACGAGUGCUCUAUGGAUUGAACAUAAAAUGUAGUAUAAACAAGUGUUAUGUUUUUAAAUGCCACUAAUAAUGUGUUUCUGUUUUCUUUCUCAUUAUGCUAACAAACACUCUUUUACCCCUCAUGUUAGGUAGAUCAACACUCCAACCAUCUGCAUUAGGGACUGAAUAAAGGAUGCCCUCUGUAGCUGGGAAUGUUAGAUCAGGCGGAUCAACAUUCCAUCCAUCUGCAUUAUGAUCUACCUUAGAGACACUCACUGGAGCUGUAAAUGGGAAGCAGGUCACUUACUUUGCAUUCGUCCUUGGUGGUCACCCAAGGGUCUCUAGAGUGAAAAUUACUCAAUCUAUGGAUUAAACAGAAAAUUUAGUUGUAUGAAGUGGUAUGUUGUCUUUAAAUGCCAUUAAAAAUGUGUUUCUGUUUUCUGUCUCAUAUUAAGAAAUACUCUUUAACCUGCCCACUGGAGCUGGGAAUGCAAUUUGGGACAUUCUUCCAGUUGUCGGCAACUUUGUGAAAAAGGCUGGAAACUUAAAUGCAGUUUAACUGAUUCUGCUUACCUGACUCAUGCAGAAUUCUGGCCUGGUGUUUGGUCUGUGCUGUCUUUGGCUCUUGCAUCUCCAUCAUCCUGACCCUCUUUAGCAGCCUGUCCAUGUAUUUAUUUGGAGGCCACCAUGAGCACCCAUCUGCAUAAUAUGACUUUGUUACUCAGAUGUCCAUGCGCUCCUACAAAUUCUACAUUUUUUGUAAAGCUGCAACAAGUUGAAACCCUAUAAUUAUUAACGUUUGAUUUUGAACUAUGUAAUUCACAUACAUGAAUAAGUAACAAAAGCAGAAAUUUAUUAAGAUAUUACCUUUUUGUUGCUUGUUUACUGAUCUAUCAAUCCUUUUGCAUUUUCAUAAUUGUUCAUCAUAACUUGGUAUACAGUGGAUGUGUGGCUGCAGAUAACUUUCUGAAGUCAAUUUAAAAAGACAAAAGUUAAUAAAUGCUGAAUUGGUCAAAUAUACAUUGUUGUAUUUUCACCAUUUUGAUGUUUAGGCAUUUCAUAACUUGAGGGUUAAUUCACGUAUAGUGAUGUUUCAAAUCAAAGAUUAAUUUAUUAAUGACAGCUAAUCAUUUUAUAAAGAUUUUUAUUACAAUAUUUAUUUAAUAUCAAUUUAAUACAUUUAAUUCGUUACACCUACAUUACUGAGCGCAAGGGAGUGCAGCCAACAAAUACAUUCAGGUGUGUUCGACUUAACACCGAGAUGCGCAGACAGCACGUGGUAUGACAUCAAAGUACCGCGAGAGUUUGGGAAAGCCCCGGAAAAGGUUUGAUCUCGCGGUACUUGAUGUCACGAUCGGUUUGCGUGUAGAUCAGCAUGAAGUAGAACACAUCUGAAAGAUGUGUGGGCUGCCUGCACUCAACGUUGCGAUAAUUCAGUAGAGUGUAACCUCAAUCGGUUUUUGCAGCUUCUGGGUGUCGUGUCGAACGAUCGCAGAACGAUUUUUUGUUCUUUUCCAACUCGAUUUUUAACUCCCUAGACUAGUAGGAUGUUCCAACGGGUGAAGCAACAGUGCUGACGGCAGAGUUUCAGUGUCAAUUUUUCAUGCCAUGAUCAGUGGGGCGGAAACCAUUAUGACGUUGCCUUGGACAUCAAACUAAACCAUCUCAUUCUGGCUUUUUUCUAACAUCGAAAUCUCAGAAGGCCAGGACUAAGAUGGACGCAGCCUCCACAUGCAACCUUGCAUUUGAGGAACACCCAUAGAACGGUCAACUUACCCCAUACUCUAACCUGAAUGCAGGGAUCAUAAAACUUUAUCUUUUACCUUAAUUGUUAGAUGGGUGUUGAUACCAAACUUUUUUGUCUCGUCUACCCAGGAGAAAGUCAUGGGUUCUGCUGCUGAGGUUGUCAUAAAGCAUGCUUUUUCCAUUUGUUGCAUUGGGCAAUAUUAUCAAAAGAUUCUGAAAGAAAUAAGAUAAUUUUCAAAGCAUUAACAUGAAUAUGAAAGCAUUAAGUCAUUAAUGAUCAUCUUUUAUUAUUGUUUAUUUAUAGUGUCUUUUAUUCUGCUUACCUGACUCAUGCAGAAUUCUGGCUUGAUGUUUGGUCCACCUGUUAGCUGGCUCUGGUGCUUGGUAGUCUUCUCAAACCUCUGAAUCAAGGCCACCAUGAGAGGCCUUCUGAAGACCAUCAUUACGCUUCAGAUCCAGUUGUCUUAACUAUGAGCCUACCACAAUCCCUGUGCACCAGCUAUGGAAAGUGCAGACCAAACUUCUACCUCCACCUAUAGAACUGAACUGGAGUCUGUGAACUAAUGCUGUGUUCGAGACAACUGGAACAGCAAACAAAGUUGAGUAUCCGACCUCUCAACUUGUGACUGAUCGAUCAGCACCAACCUCAACGAGAUGCAUCAUUUGACAUUGCAGACAAGUUGGUGGCUAGCCUUUCACAGCCUUACAUGAACCGCAAACAAACUUUAAACUAUUUUUACAGCACAUAAUAUUUAUGAACAUGAAUGUUAAAUUAUCCAGUAACCAUUUUCUGCCAUAAUUGGCACAAGAGCACAAACUUCUCCUGGCGUCUCAUUAUGUGGUAAACACGCAAAUGUGAUAUGUGAUUGACUGGAAUGCAUUGAGGUCGGUGGUAGGAUAUUUAAUGACAUAACAUCAGAAAUCCGAAUUGUAACACUGCGCAAUAUUUCACAUAAUUGUCAUGACCUGAUUAUCCUCCCAUGUUUUUAACACAACCAUUGAUUGGUCACACGGAAGCAGAGACUUUGUCCUUUGUAUCUCUCAAAAAAAGAAUUCUAUAUUUAAUGUUAAAAAACACUUACAGUAGACUGUGUUAGAUAACUGUGCUUUUGGAAGUCAUUUCUGAUAACCGCACACCUAACUUGUCUAAUGUCUUAAAAAUAGGCACCAGAGCAAUGUUUGUGGUAACCGUGGUAUAAGAGGAAUAAUUGACUCCGGUCCUUUGAAUUAUUUGAAAAUAAAGCACACCCGCGGUGUAACGGCACUCUGCUUCGCGUCGUGCCGCAUUGCACCUUGGGUGUGCAUUAUUUUCUUAUAAUUCAAUGGCCCGUCGUCAAUUAUUCCUUACAUAUUGAAGGUUGACAGGUUUGUUUGCAUGUAAUUGCAGUAUUAUUAAUUUGGGGUUGAUAGUCCAAUGUUGAUUUGAGAGAAAUUUUUUUUUUCUUUUUAGAUCCUUUCUCUUUUUAAUGCAGCACUUAAGGAUGAACCACCCUGAUCUACUAAGAUGCACAGAUUCAACUCUGGCCCAGCAUCAUCCCCACACCUCAUCUGCCAUCAGUUUAAUUUAAUGUCUGUCAAUUGCAAAUGCUAUUUAUUUCAGUUAUAUUACAACUUAAUGUUAACUUUAAUUGAGACUAGUAUUGUGUAAAGCUGGGGUUUCCAAACUUUUCAUUUCAAAACCUAUUAGACAAGUGUAAUCUAUUCUAGACCCACUAAAAUAUUUUUACAUAUACAUUUUUUUAAUGGGGUAAAACACAUUUGUUCUCUUUCAGUGGAGUCAUUUUAUUUUCAUAAUAUUUCAUAAUGUAAAGCAGUGGUUCUUAACGUUAUUCCUCGAGGCCCACUGCUCUGCACAUUUUGUAUGUCUCUUUUAUCUGACAGACUCAGUUCAGUUCAUUGAGAUCUCUUCUAAUGAGCUGAUGAUUUGAAUCAG